GAGUAUGUAAUGAGUUUCUUUCAUUUUUCCUUCUAGACAAUAUCGGUGAUGCAAAACCAAGUUUUUGGUACU